rnacentral:tRNA from 1 species
UCCCUGGUGGUCUAGUGGUUAAGGAUCCGGCAUUGUCACUGCUGUGGCACAGGUUCAAUCCCUGGCCCAGGAA